rnacentral:rRNA from 1 species
UGUCUGGGAAACUGCCUGAUGGAGGGGGAUAACUACUGGAAACGGUAGCUAAUACCGCAUAACGUCGCAAGACCAAAGAGGGGGACCUUCGGGCCUCUUGCCAUCGGAUGUGCCCAGAUGGGAUUAGCUAGUAGGUGGGGUAACGGCUCACCUAGGCGACGAUCCCUAGCUGGUCUGAGAGGAUGACCAGCCACACUGGAACUGAGACACGGUCCAGACUCCUACGGGAGGCAGCAGUGGGGAAUAUUGCACAAUGGGCGCAAGCCUGAUGCAGCCAUGCCGCGUGUAUGAAGAAGGCCUUCGGGUUGUAAAGUACUUUCAGCGGGGAGGAAGGCGAUAAGGUUAAUAACCUUGUCGAUUGACGUUACCCGCAGAAGAAGCACCGGCUAACUCCGUGCCAGCAGCCGCGGUAAUACGGAGGGUGCAAGCGUUAAUCGGAAUUACUGGGCGUAAAGCGCACGCAGGCGGUCUGUCAAGUCGGAUGUGAAAUCCCCGGGCUCAACCUG